GAGGCUGUCCAGAUGGGGACAGAUUCCCUGGGGAGACCGACCACACUCCUGCUGGCAGAUUGCUUUCCUUGGCCUACUGCCCCCUUCUGCGGGGACUUCCAGACACACCCUCACAAUCAUCAAUACUUACCUGAGACUCCUCUUGGCGACCCCCACCUGUAAUUCCUCUUCCAAACAGUCCUGUCUGAAGGUGUUCGACUGCCUUUUUUCAAAGGCUUGUGGUCUUCUGCAUCACUGGAAGAAAAGAGAAAACAUUUUCAUCAAGGCUGGUAUUUAGAUUCAUUUGGAUUUUUACACACAUAAUCAUAUCAGUUAUGAAUAAUGACCAUCCAAAAAGGGGCACCCUGGAAGCACCCAUUCCAGCUUAAUGGCCACAGUGGAUGAGAGAGAAUGUACGGCAACAUUGGCUGUGCUUGAAAGAAGAGAAGGAAGGAAGAGGAUGCUCUGUCCACAGAGUCUUUCCAGGAAAAGCUAUUCAAAGGCAGUUCAAGAUCAUUUUAAGACUAGUUUUCAAAAAGUGGUGUGAUGGGGGCUGGCCCGGUGGUGUAGCGGUUAAGUUUGCACGUUCUGCUUUGGCGGCACGGGGUUCACUGGUUCGGAUCCUGGGCACGGACCUACUCACUGCUCAUCAAGCCAUGCUGAGGCAGUGUCCCACAUAGAAGAGCUACAACUCUACAACUAUGAUACACAACUAUGUACCGGGGGCUUGGGGAGAAAAAAGAAAAAGAGGAAGAUUGGCAAUAGAUGUUAGUGCAGGG